AUUGAACGCUGGCGGCAGGCCUAACACAUGCAAGUCGAACGGUAACAGGAAGAAGCUUGCUUCUUUGCUGACGAGUGGCGGACGGGUGAGUAAUGUCUGGGAAACUGCCUGAUGGAGGGGGAUAACUACUGGAAACGGUAGCUAAUACCGCAUAACGUCGCAAAACCAAAAAGGGGGACCUUCUGGCCCCUUGCCAUAGGAUGUGCCCCGAUGGGAUUCGCUAGUAGGUGGGGUAACGGCUCACCUAGGCGACGAUCCCUAGCUGGUCUGAGAGGAUGAGCAGCCACACUGGAACUGAGACACGGUCCAGACUCCUACGGGAGGCAGCAGUGGGGAAUAUUGCACAAUGGGCGCAAGCCUGAUGCAGCCAUGCCGCGUGUAUGAAGAAGGCCUUCGGGUUGUAAAGUACUUUCAGCGGGGAGGAAGGGAAUAAAGUUAAUACCUUUGCGCAUUGACGUUACCCGCAGAAGAAGCACCGGCUAACUCCGUG
rnacentral:rRNA from 1 species